rnacentral:rRNA from 1 species
UCAAUUAGGGUAGGAUAGACAUGCUAGUCAGCGCUCGCCAGCCAAAGGUGAGUGCGGCGCACAGCUCAGUAACACGUGGCUAACCUGCCCUUGGGACGGGGACACCCCCGGGAAACUGGGGUUAAUCCCCGAUAGGCGAAGAACUCUGGAAUGAAUCUCCACCUAAAAGACGCUUGCGCUAUGCUCGCAGGUGUCGCCCAAGGAUGGGGCCGCGACCGAUCAGGUUGUUGGUGAGGUAAUGGCUCACCAAGCCUUUUACCGGUGCGGGCCGUGGGAGCGGGAGCCCGGAGAUGGGCACUGAGACAAGGGCCCAGGCCCUACGGGGCGCAGCAGUCGCGAAAACUCCGCAAUGCACGAAAGUGUGACGGGGCUACCCCGAGUGCCGUCCGCUGAGGAUGGCUUUUCCUUGGUGUAACUAGCCGGGGGAAUAAGGAGAGGGCAAGACUGGUGUCAGCCGCCGCGGUAAUACCAGCUCUCCGAGUGGUAGGGAUGAUUAUUGGGCUUAAAGCGUCCGUAGCCGGCUUAGCAAGUUUCCUGUUAAAUUCAGCGACCUAAUCGUUGAGCCGCGGGAAAUACUACUAGGCUAGGAGGCGGAAGAGGUCGACGGUACUUCUGGGGUAGGGGUGAAAUCCUAUAAUCCCGGGAGGACCACCAGUGGCGAAGGCUGUCGACUAGAACGCGCUCGACGGUGAGGGACGAAGGCUGGGGGAGCGAACCGGAUUAGAUACCCGGGUAGUCCCAGCUGUAAACGAUGCGGGCUAGGUGUUGGGGUGGCUACGUGCCACUUCAGUGCCGCAGGGAAGCCAUUAAGCCCGCCGCCUGGGGGAGUACGGCCGCAAGGCUGAAACUUAAAAGGAAUUGGCGGGGGAGCACCACAAAGGCGUGAAGCUUGCGGUUCAAUUGGAUUCAACGCCGGA